rnacentral:snRNA from 1 species
GGAUGUGAGGGUGAUAUGGCUGCAACAUCUGUCACCCCAUUGAUUGCCAGGGUUGAUUCGGCUGAUCUGGCUGGCUAGGCUGGUAUCCCCUUCCUUCCUCAAUGCUCCACAUGCAUCCCUCCUAAAGCUGCGUGCUCCAUCGAAGAGGACGACCUUCUCCAAUAGAGGAGAACUGGUCUUCCGUCAAGGGUAUAUGAGUAGCUGCGCUCCCCUGCUAGAACCUCCAAACAAGCUCUCAAAAAUACUCUAGUUUUUGACUCACGGGUGUUAUUGACUUAGGUCUUCUUUAUGUCUCUUAGCAAUAUUGUGGGGCUUUCUGUUAUAUAUC